UACGUAGGGGGCGAGCGUUGUCCGGAAUCAUUGGGCGUAAAGAGCGUGUAGGCGGCUUGGCAAGUCUGACGUGAAAGCCCGCGGCUCAACCGCGGGAUUGUCGUUGGAAACUGGCCUCGCUAGAGUCCGGAAGAGGAGAGCGGAAUUCCUGGUGUAGCGGUGGAAUGCGCAGAUAUCGAGGAAGAACACCCGGUGGCGAAGGCGGCUCUCUGGGACGGUACUGACGCUGAGACGGCGAAAGCGUGGGGAGCGAACAGG
rnacentral:rRNA from 1 species